UUUAUGUCUUUUUGGGGUAAACUAUUCUAGGUUAACUAUAAGAACCUUUACAGUACAAUCUGACUAUUUUCCUGUGCCAUUUUACAUGGCUCAAUCUUAAUCGCAUUUAAAGAGGAAGUUAGUUUUACUUUAUUAUAAAGUUAUACACCUAGAAAUCUGUAUUAUGAGUGAAGACACAUUUCACUUCUUCCAAAUAAAGAUUCAUAAUCAGCUGCAUAAAAAGAAACAUGAACUAUUUGAUGACAGUCAGGCAAUGUCUUUAUGUGGACUAAUGAAGGGUAGCAAAUGAGAUACAUUAAUUUGAAUUAUUAUAUAGCAUGUCACUAGAUGCUGUACACUUCAGACUAAACCUAGAAUUUCCACCAAGGUGUCAAAGGCUUGACAGAAGAGUGUGUCACAAUUACCAUACAUUAACAAGGGUGAUGGCUCAGCGUGCAAAGGCUCUUGCCGCCAAACUUCAUAGUCAGUGAGAGAACACAGAGUCUACAUCGCAUGAGAGGACUGUAUACAUCUCAGGUCACCUGUGUACCAGCCCCAGGGAUCUUCUGGCCUGUGAGGUUUCCCAAACAUACACACACAUGUAGGGAACAUGUAAGCGUGAAAAUAAACUAUUUUAUGUUUUGAAGGUGUAAGAUAAUUAUAUUGUUUUCCCCUUCUCUUUCUUCACCCAAUCCAAUCUCAUACAGCCCUCCCUUCUCUCAUUAAAUUCAUGGCUUCCUUUUUCAUUACUUAAUAUCACACACACACACAUAUACUCACACACUCACACUUGUGAAAAGAAAGAAGAAGAAAAGAAGUAGGAAAUAUUGUAAAUCCAGGAGAAUAGAACAGUAUUUUGUGGGGUUUUGGUUUGGUUUUUGUUUUUGUUUGUUUCUUUGUUUGUUUGUUUGUUUUCUUUUGGUUUGGUUUGGGUUGUGUCUUAGUUAGGGUUUUACUGCUGUGAACAGACACGUAACCAAGGCAACUCUUUUUUUUUUUUUUUUUUUUUUUUUUUACAUUCCAUAUUCCAUCCCCCCACACACAUCUACCCUUCAUCUGGUCCACAUCCCACAUCUCCACCCCCACCCCACCAGACUUCUAAACUCCCUGGAGCCUCCAGUCUCUUAAGGGUUAGUUACAUCUUCUCUGAAUAAACACAGAUGCAGAAGUCCUCUGCUGUAUGUGUGUUUGGGGCCUCAUAUCAGCUGGUAUAUGCUGCCUGUUUGGUGGUCCAGUGUUUGAGAGAUCUCAGGGGUCCAGAUUAAUUGAGACUGCUGGUCCUCCAAGGCAACUUUUAUAAGGACAACCUUUAAUUGGAGCUGACUUACAGGUUCAGAAGUUCAGUCCAUUAUCAUCAAGGCAGGAACAUGACAUCAUCUAGGCAGGCAUGGUACAGGAGGAAUUGAGAGUUCUACACCUUCAUCUGAAGGCUGCUAGCUAAGUCUGGCUUCCAGGCAGCUAGGGUGAGGAUGUUAAAGCCCAUACCCACAGUGAUAUAUCUACUCCAACAAGGCCACAUUUCCUAAUAGUGCCACUCCCUGGGCCAAGCAUCUACAAACCAACACGGGUUGGGUUUUGGGUUUUGUUUUGUUUGUGUUUUUUUUUUCUUGUUUCAUUUGUUUUGUUUUUGUUGUUGUUGUUGUUGUUGUUGUUGUUGUUGUUGUUUUGUAUGUUUGCUUUCCUGUUUGUUUUUGGGGACAUUGUGGCUACCAGGAAUGUUAGCAGUUCCAUCCAUAAAGUCUCACCAACAUACCUGCCUAAAAUCCCUUUUAAAAGGUAUACUCAGUAAACUUUACUAAAGCAUAAAGUUCAUUAGAAUGCCAUCUAAGACAUUUUCAGCACACACAUACUAAAAUCUCUCACACUGUUCAUACUAUUGUGCUAAAUGCCACUAACACAUAAUUUAAUUGCAAAAACUAUUCUAUGAUUUCACCUGCUUUAGAUUUUCUUUCAGUUUGAAAUCUGGGGAUUGAAUUCCCUUCUUCCUUUAUGUGUAGCUCCAGUAUCAUCAUCAAUUUCAGAGAAGCUUCCUCUGAGACCCUCCAUACAAUUCUACUACAGUCUAUCAAGCUCAUGUUUAGAUAAGCAUUGGAGUCCUUCCUGCCACAAUCUAAAUCUCUCUCCCUAUCACUGUGAGGUCUUUCCAUCAGUGGUCCAUUGUACAGGAAACUCUAAUUCUCUUUCUCUCUUGGAUUUUUUUCAUAAUUCCAGACAUACCAAUAUUAGUAAAACCUGUAGCUUCUAUAUUAUACAUUGAAUGGUCAAGACAUGCGUAGCUGAUUUCAUAGUUGGCAGGGAAAAGUUAAGCAAAGGGUGAAAUCUGGCACUCUUUAUUUUAUUUACAAAGAGUGAAUAAGAAAUAUAAAAUACAUACAAACCAUGAUUCUUAGAUUCUUAAAACCAGGUCAAUAGAACCAUGAAUGUAAGUUACAAAUAAGAACUAUUUUAGAAGCAACCACAAUCAGUCAAGCUAAGAAGUCAAAUAUGGUUCUUUUGUUUUUCAGCUUGGAAAACAAAUGAAAAAGAAUGAUGGUUUUCUUUUUUGUUAAUCCAGGACUAUAGAGCACCUCUCAUUGUGUUUAUUCUCUAAAAUGAAACCACUUUUUAAAGGAGACCCAAGGAGGAAAAUGGAAAGGCAUAGUCUGACUUUAGACACUGUAGCAGUAAUGCAUGACUUUGUUAAUAUUUAUCAGGGAAUUAAUUGAGUGAUUCAUUUGCUGCUUCACCGUUAUGCCAAUAUAGCAUGUUGAUAUGGGAUUCAGUUUCUAUUAAGAGAUGCUGGAAGAUGAAUCUAGUCUAAGACGCUGACUGGGCAAGCAGGGAGUUCACUGGCUGCAAGCAUUUUUAUAAUUAACUUAGAAGCAGAGAUAAAUGAUAAGGGAAUCUUAUAGUAGGAAAGGAGGCAUGUUAUGACUUGUCUUUGAGGAAAUACAUUUUAAGUGGCAAUCCAUUGAUUUAUAUGUAGAUAUUUGUGAAGAAAAGAAGGCCCCUAGCUUGAUAUUAAACCAUAAUAUGUUGCCUAACUUGCAGUUAUUUUUAAUUUGCGUAGCAAAAAAUUGUUGAGCAUAGG
rnacentral:lncRNA from 1 species